CGGAGGAAUAUUGCACAAUGGGCGCAAGCCUGAUGCAGCCAUGCCGCGUGUGUGAAGAAGGCCUUCGGGUUGUAAAGCACUUUCAGCGAGGAGGAAGGUGGUGAGCUUAAUACGCUCAUCAAUUGACGUUACUCGCAGAAGAAGCACCGGCUAACUCCGUGCCAGCAGCCGCGGUAAUACGGAGGGUGCAAGCGUUAAUCGGAAUUACUGGGCGUAAAGCGCACGCAGGCGGUUUGUUAAGUCAGAUGUGAAAUCCCCGGGCUCAACCUGGGAACUGCAUUUGAAACUGGCAAGCUAGAGUCUCGUAGAGGGGGGUAGAAUUCCAGGUGUAGCGGUGAAAUGCGUAGAGAUCUGGAGGAAUACCGGUGGCGAAGGCGGCCCCCUGGACGAAGACUGACGCUCAGGUGCGAAAGCGUGGGGCAGCAAACAGGAUUAGAUACCCUGGUAGUCCACGCUGUAAACGAUGUCGAUUUUGGAGGUUGUGCCCUUGAGGCGUGGCUUCCGGAGCUAACGCGUUAAAGUCGACCGCCCUGGGGGAGUACGGCCGCAAGGUUAAAACUCAAAUGAAUUG
rnacentral:rRNA from 1 species